rnacentral:misc_RNA from 1 species
GUAACAAGGUUUCCGUAGGUGAACCUGCGGAAGGAUCAUUACCGAGUGUAGGGUUCCUAGCGAGCCCAACCUCCCACCCGUGUUUACUGUACCUUAGUUGCUUCGGCGGGCCCGCCAUUCAUGGCCGCCGGGGGCUCUCAGCCCCGGGCCCGCGCCCGCCGGAGACACCACGAACUCUGUCUGAUCUAGUGAAGUCUGAGUUGAUUGUAUCGCAAUCAGUUAAAACUUUCAACAAUGGAUCUCUUGGUUCCGGCAUCGAUGAAGAACGCAGCGAAAUGCGAUAACUAGUGUGAAUUGCAGAAUUCCGUGAAUCAUCGAGUCUUUGAACGCACAUUGCGCCCCCUGGUAUUCCGGGGGGCAUGCCUGUCCGAGCGUCAUUGCUGCCCAUCAAGCACGGCUUGUGUGUUGGGUCGUCGUCCCCUCUCCGGGGGGGACGGGCCCCAAAGGCAGCGGCGGCACCGCGUCCGAUCCUCGAGCGUAUGGGGCUUUGUCACCCGCUCUGUAGGCCCGGCCGGCGCUUGCCGAACGCAAAUCAAUCUUUUCCAGGUUGACCUCGGAUCAGGUAGGGAUACCCGCUGAACUUAAGCAUAUCA